rnacentral:rRNA from 1 species
UACGGGGGGAGCAAGCGUUGUUCGGAUUUACUGGGCGUAAAGGGCGCGUAGGCGGCGCAACAAGUCACUUGUGAAAUCUCCGGGCUUAACCCGGAGCGGCCAAGUGAUACUGUCGUGCUAGAGUGCGGAAGGGGCUACUGGAAUUCUCGGUGUAGCGGUGAAAUGCGCAGAUAUCAGGAGAAACACCGAUGGCGAAGGCAGCUCGCUGGGACGGUACUGACGCUGAGGCGCGAAAGCGUGGGGAGCAAACAGG